GGAAUCUUCCACAAUGGGCGCAAGCCUGAUGGAGCAACACCGCGUGAGUGAAGAAGGGUUUCGGCUCGUAAAGCUCUGUUGUUAAAGAAGAACACGUAUGAGAGUAACUGUUCAUACGUUGACGGUAUUUAACCAGAAAGUCACGGCUAACUACGUGCCGG
rnacentral:rRNA from 1 species